CCGUUCUCAAAAUUAAUUUUAAAGCACAAUAUUUUUUAAUAACAUUUGUAUGAAUUACUAACCAUUAUCACCCAAAACACAAUUUUACAACGCUGUAAUCGUGUCGUAGAGAUUUAGUUUACUAUUAUCAGUGUUCUCUUUAAAUACCGGCAGCCAGCGAUUCUGCCGGUUACAUUUACUCUUACAUUUACAUGACGGCUUUUUUUCCCAAAUAUAUCAAGUAAAUGUCAUAAAUGCUUUUGUUUUACUGCAUAGUUGCCGGCCAUAUAACUGGUACUCAAUUUUCUGGAAAACACUGAAUUAUGCAUGAAAAACACACAAUAUUUAAAAUCUUAGAUUCGUUUUUAAAAUAAAUUGACACUUAUAGCUUGUCGCCAUUAAAAUCCAAAGAUUCAAAUAAUUUUCCACGAGGUACGUCAACAAUUGCGUAAUCAAAUGAAUGAAAAAUAAAAGUAAACAAAGCCGGAUUUUACAUAAAUUCCAGUUUGAUAAACACAACAAGGUAAAGGUACCUUGUAGUCGGUGAGAUAUAAUAAUAAUACAGUUAGUAAGGCUCGUACCCUGGGUACGGUAAAUAUACUAAAACGUACCCUGGAAUUUUAACACUAAAUCUGUUGUUGUCGGGUAUUUUGUAAAAAUUAAUUAUGUUUACAUUUAUGUCAAUUUUCUGUUCAAUGGCAUUUAUAUUAUCAAAACUCAUUGUUAAAAUCAAUGAUGUGAUUUAAUUUUAAAUCUUAAAUUGUUUAAAGUCGCGUCAUUGUAUGACGUCGUCAAGUAUAAUAUUUUCCGCGACAUCGCACGCUCACUUUUUACCGUCAUAGAUUUUUUUAAAGAAACAUUAUUUGGUUUGCAAGGUCCGUUAAAUGGGGAAUGGUUAAAUGGUAUUUAUAUUAUGUUUUAACAAUUAAUUCAUGCUGUGUAAUAAAUAUUGAAUAAGAUAUUUCGAUAUUGAUUGAACAUGUUUCAAAUUGUUAUUUAUGAAACCUCUUAUUCUAAUGAGUGUAUGCUAUUAUAUUAUACUUUGAAAAGCAUAUCUGUUGUACUAUAAUCUUAUUAUUCAUUCUUUAUUGUUAAUUUCAUUUAUUGUAGAGAAUCGUCAAUGUUACAUCUAGUUGCCAAUGCUUGUCGUUAGUGUUAGUUUUCAAUGCUUGUUAUCAUUGUUGUCAAUUUUAGUCGUCAAUCCUUAUCGUCAUUAUACAUGAAGGAAAUAAAAGCAGAAACAGAGACGUAUUCUUGAUUACUUGAUUAUUCCUACGGCGUCCUCUCAACACUCAUACUAAAAAGCAUGUUGAUGCAGAUUUUUUAAAAGAGAAGUUUCUUUAAGUAUCGGCCUUGGCAAACAGCGUAGAAUCAGAUGAGACGCUGUGUGGUGUCUGCUAUUUCGUUACGCUGAAGAUUUCCAUAUCGGAUUAUCCGCGGGUGUUUUUAUGUCAAAUGUUAUGGUUUUUCAAUAGAUCGUAUACUUAUCGUCAAAACAGCGAAUUAGCGUUCACUUUAUAUCAUUUCUGAUGAUCUUAUUUUGUAAAUAUUUUCUGAGUGUUAAUUCCUACGUUGCUAUGUCGUCAGCCAUUUUGACGGUUGCUUUGUUUACUUUCGGUUUCCACUAUAAACGAAAUUAAUUGAUUUGCUGCUCGCGUUUAUUUAUUGAUUAAAUAAUAAAUUAUUAAACCCUAAUAAUGUAAUUGUCUGAAUAUCAUUUAUAUUCAAGAUAUUAUCGGAUAAAUAGAAUACCAUUCUAAUACCAGUGUGUACUUACAUUUAUCUCGGAAAGCCUAGCCGUGUAAACCUCUCUUCAACUCGUCGCACACAAUACGUUGAAUAACACAUAGAUUUAUGUCAUGUUUAUUAAAAAACCACACUGUGCACAAAAGACAUG